UACGUAGGUGACCAGCGUUGUCCGGAUUUACUGGGCGUAAAGAGCGCGCAGGCGGUCGUUCAAGUCGAGUGUGAAGGCCCCCGGCUCAACUGGGGAGGGUCAUUCGAUACUGAUCGACUCGAAGGCAGGAGAGGGAAGCGGAAUUCCCGGUGUAGUGGUGAAAUGCGUAGAUAUCGGGAGGAACACCAGUGGCGAAGGCGGCUUCCUGGCCUGUUCUUGACGCUGAGGCGCGAAAGCUAGGGGAGCAAACGGG
rnacentral:rRNA from 1 species